AACGGGUGAGUAAUAUAUCGGAACGUGUCCAAUAAUGGGGGAUAACGAGUCGAAAGAUUCGCUAAUACCGCAUACGCCCUACGGGGGAAAGCAGGGGAUCGUAAGACCUUGCGUUAAUGGAGCGGCCGAUAUCUGAUUAGCUUGUUGGUGAGGUAAAGGCUCACCAAGGCGACGAUCAGUAGCUGGUUUGAGAGAACGACCAGCCACACUGGAACUGAGACACGGUCCAGACUCCUACGGGAGGCAGCAGUGGGGAAUUUUGGACAAUGGGGGCAACCCUGAUCCAGCCAUUCCGCGUGAGUGAAGAAGGCCUUCGGGUUGUAAAGCUCUUUCGCAAGGGAAGAAAACUUAUGAUCGAAUAAAUCAUGAGGUUGACGGUGCCUUGAUAAGAAGCACCGGCUAACUACGUGCCAGCAGCCGCGGUAAUACGUAGGGUGCGAGCGUUAAUCGGAAUUACUGGGCGUAAAGCGUGCGCAGGCGGUUUUGUAAGUCGGAUGUGAAAUCCCCGGGCUCAACCUGGGAACUGCGUUCGAAACUGCAAGGCUAGAGUGUGUCAGAGGGGGGUAGAAUUCCACGUGUAGCAGUGAAAUGCGUAGAGAUGUGGAGGAAUACCAAUGGCGAAGGCAGCCCCCUGGGAUAACACUGACGCUCAUGCACGAAAGCGUGGGGAGCAAACGGGAUUAGAUACCCCGGUAGUCCUGGCAGUAAACGGUGCACGUUUGGUGUGGGGCAAUCGACCGCGUCCGCGCCGGAGCUAACGCGUUAAACGUGCCGCCUGGGAAGUACGGUCGCAAGAUUAAAACUCAAAGAAAUUGACGGGGACCCGCACAAGCGGUGGAGUAUGUGGCUUAAUUCGAUGCAACGCGAAGAACCUUACCUGGUCUUGACAUGCAUUGUGUCUCUGCUGAAAGGCAGAUAGCGUAGCAAUACGCGCUUUGCACAGGUGCUGCAUGGCUGUCGUCAGCUCGUGUCGUGAGAUGUUGGGUUAAGCCCCGCAACGAGCGCAACCCCUGUGAUUUGUUGCCACCCGGUUUUCCGGAGCACUCGAAUCAGACUGCCUCGAUCAACGAGGAGGAAGGUGGGGAUGACGUCAAGUCCGUAUGGCCCUUACGACCAGGGCUGCACACGUACUACAAUGCCCAGUACAAUGAGAGCCGAUACCGCGAGGUGGAGGAAAUCUACAAAACUGGGCUCAGUUCAGAUUGGAGUCUGCAA
rnacentral:rRNA from 1 species